CAGAGUUUACAAACUCCCUAAACCCAUUGUGAACAUUACCUAUACCGUUGCUUCGGCGGGCUCCCGGGUUCUCCCGGCGCCCCUGUCCCAAUCGCGGGACGGCCCGCCCGAGGUACACCUAAACUCUUGAUAUUUAGUGGCACUCUCUGAGUCUUUAAACUGAAAUAAAGUCA
rnacentral:misc_RNA from 1 species